AAGUCGUAACAAGGUUUCCGUAGGUGAACCUGCGGAAGGAUCAUUAACACGUUCCAAAAAAACGUAUCAAACCAAACGUGAAUUCGUUCUCCCUAACAGAAUAAGUUUAGCUGCGCCGACUGAUUCCUGGUGGGUGCACCGCAAGGUGUACGAUCAGUCGGAGCUAAAGGUUUGACCUUGAGGCUAAGAGCUUUUUGUUAGGCUUGCUUUAUGCUUCUAUUCCUUCUCAUUCCAACCACACUUGGGAAUGGGUUGGUGUAACACCACUUUCACCUUUACUAAACCAUUUGACUAAUACAUGCUUCUUUCAUGUCCUUUGCGCAAGCUUUGGUAUGGAAGAGACUAAGUUUAUCUAAACUAAGCACAACUCUUAGCAAUGGAUAUCUUGGUUCUC
rnacentral:misc_RNA from 1 species